AUUCAACGAAGAGAAUCCGAGCCACUCUGGGCCGCUGGAUACCUCCGUCGAUAGGUAGAAGGGGACUGGCGGGAGAGUAGUUGAAGCCAAAUCCAAUUAAUGGGUAUUCCUUAUAUUUCACUUAAGCGGGUCGGCUGAUCCAAUCCGCUGCGUCCCCACGACCUUAACGGGUGGACGGAGAUCUUGACCCGAACUUGUUGCAGCGAGCCAUACCGGGUCUGAGAUGGUUUAACCCGGUCCGUUUUGGAGUCGAAGGUCGUUGUGGGAGCCUAAGAGUUCGAGGGGGAGUCGGUUCGUUCCCUUAAAGAAAGCUCCGUCGUUGUGGGAGCUUAAGAGUUCGAGGGGGAGUCGGUUCGUUACCUUAAAGAAAGCUCGCCCUGAACCCGCUGCCGGUCGAAUUCGCUGGCGAUCUCAAGCGAUAUCUUCGGUCGUCGCCUGGGGUUUGGAUCUUUUCUACCUUUCUUGAACGAUUCUUCUCCUUUUUCUUUUGAUGAACAAGAUCUUGGUGCUAAUUUUGGCAGAGAUUGGGCGUUCUUGGAGAGGAUAUUGGGUUUUCGAGAAUUCGGAUCCGGAGUCGCGGUUUGGAUCUUGUUCGCCAUCGAAGCAGCGAUCUCUCUCUGGGGAUGAACUCGUCUUCUUGUUGCGUCUCCGGGAAUGUCCCGUUCCUCUAUGAGGGUGAGCUCCUCGUCGAUCGAUCCUCCUGUGCUUUUCUUAUACCUCGUUUGUUCGUUAUUGUCGGUCGCUUUUUCGUUUCGAUUCAUUAGUUCGUAAUAAAGUCCCCUGUCGGUCAUCGGCCAUCCCGAUCCCGAUGACGAAAGGAUGUGAGCCCUAGUUUAUCUUAGGUGUAAGCCCAGUUCUUGAUUACAUUAUUAGUUCUUGAGACUUGUAGGUUUUAGGUAGUAUGUUCAUUUGGAUUUAAGCCAAAUAAUAAGCCAGUCGUAUAGAUGCUGAAAGUGUAGAGCGCACGUCCAUCUCAACAUUUGGCAUAAAUUUUUUAUAUAUAUUAUUUUUUUAAGUAUUCAAUAUUCAGAUCCAUAAAGCAUUGUUGAUGUAUUAUAAUUUUUUUUAAAUCUUAAAGAUAUCCGAUGAUCGUAUAAGACUCCCGAUGUCGUUCAUCAUUUUAAUCAUUCUAUUUUUAUUUUAUGAAUAAUAAUUUUAUUGAUUUUUUUAUCUUAUUGAAUAAUUAAUCUAAGAGACCGAUUUCUUAUCUAUUUAAUUUAUUGAUCUUUUCAGCUUCUCUAGAAUCACUAAGAUUAUAUUUUAUAUAUUUAGUUUUAAUCUUACAUAAUCUUACAUGUCCUUAAUAUAAUCUCAUGUUAAUAGGAAAGGAAACUUCCUAUAAUUUUUAUUCUUAAUAUAAUCUCAUGUUAAUAGGAAACCAUAUUAUAUAGGACCCCAAUAUCCAAACCUUGUAUUCAUACUCAAAUUUUGUUUGGAUCUACUUGUAUACGUAGCUUUCAAAAUUUUAGUAAUGCAUCAGUUGCUUGACCUGCCAAUAACCAUAUCAAUAUUGUUUUAGUGCAAUACAUGUAGGGGGCUACCAAUGGAAAAAAGCUCAAAGCACCAGAAGUUUCAAGAAGAUUCCCAAAGGAAUGUGUCGCUCUAUCCUCCUCAAACUAUGAAAAUUUCGGUUUUUGGUUUAUAUAGGCCUACAAAUGCAUGAUUAUUGAUCAUUUCCUCUUCAUGUGAGUCGCUGAGCAUUGUUUAUAACCAUUUGGAUACAUGAAUACUUGUUUUCCUAAUUGAGUUGUCAGAUACGCUGUGCGUGUGUGUGAAUGGAUGCAUGCCGCACAUGCGUGUGCUCGUUCUUUGUGAUUAUGAUUGGCUGAGUUGACCAUUUCUGUUCGUCAGAUGCCAUUCACCUUGCAGGAGAGAGAGAGAGAGAGAGAGGUCGCACUUUGUUAGUGGAAUUGAGAAAGGUAACACGGCGGCAGGAGAUUCCCUGCUUUGAUGUUCUAAAUUUUGUUGGAGCUUUAUGAUACGUGCGUGCUUUAGCCGCCGAGGAAGCUUGCAGGAGCUGUGACUUAUAUAUAAUCU
rnacentral:lncRNA from 1 species